rnacentral:rRNA from 1 species
GAUCAUGGCUCAGGACGAACGCUGGCGGUGUGCCUCAUACAUGCAAGUCGAACGAUAAGGUCUCUUCGGAGAUACAUAAGUGGCGGACGGGUGAGUACAACAUAGGAAAUCUGCCCUAAAGCGGGGGACAACAGAGGGAAACUUCUGCUAAUACCCCAUAUGAGCUUAGUUGAAAUACUAAUCUUGAAAGAUUUAUCACUUUAGGAUGAGCCUGUGCCUGAUUAGCUGGUUGGUGGUGUAAUGGACUACCAAGGCGACGAUCAGUAGCUGGUUUGAGAGGAUGAUCAGCCACAAUGGGACUGAGACACGGCCCAUACUCCUACGGGAGGCAGCAGUAGGGAAUUUUGCGCAAUGGGCGAAAGCCUGAACCGCAGCAACACCGCGUGAAUGUUAAGCCCUUCGGGGUGUAAAGUUCUGUCAGUAGGGAAGAACAAAUGACUGUACCUGCAAAGGAAGCACCGGCUAACUCCGUGCCAGCCGCUGC